GACGAACGCUGGCGGCGUGCCUAAUACAUGCAAGUAGAACGCUGAAGAGACGAGCUUGCUCUUCUUGGAUGAGUUGCGAACGGGUGAGUAACGCGUAGGUAACCUGCCUUGUAGCGGGGGAUAACUAUUGGAAACGAUAGCUAAUACCGCAUAACAAUGGAUGACACAUGUCAUUUAUUUGGAAGGGGCAAUUGCUCCACUACAAGAUGGACCUGCGUUGUAUUAGCUAGUAGGCGAGGUAACGGCUCACCUAGGCGACGAUACAUAGCCGACCUGAGAGGGUGAUCGGCCACACUGGGACUGAGACACGGCCCAGACUCCUACGGGAGGCAGCAGUAGGGAAUCUUCGGCAAUGGGGGCAACCCUGACCGAGCAACGCCGCGUGAGUGAAGAAGGUUUUCGGAUCGUAAAGCUCUGUUGUAAGUCAAGAACGAGUGUGAGAGCGCAAAGUUCACACUGUGACGGUAGCUUACCAGAAAGGGACGGCUAACUACGUGCCAGCAGCCGCGGUAAUACGUAGGUCCCGAGCGUUGUCCGGAUUUAUUGCGCGUAAAGCGAGCGCAGGCGGUUAGAUAAAUCUGAAGUUAAAGGCUGUGGCUCAACCCUAGUUCGCUUUGGGAAACUGUCUUACUUGAGUGCUGAAAGGGAGAGUGGAAUUCCCUGUGUAGCGGUGAAAUGCGUAGAUAUAUGGAGGAACACCGGUGGCGAAAGCGGCUCUCUGGUCUGUAACUGACGCUGAGGCUCGAAAGCGUGGGGAGCGAACAGGAUUAGAUACCCUGGUAGUCCACGCCGUAAACGAUGAGUGCUAGGUGUUGGAUCCUUUCCGGGAUUCAGUGCCGCAGCUAACGCAUUAAGCACUCCGCCUGGGGAGUACGACCGCAAGGUUGAAACUCAAAGGAAUUGACGGGGGCCCGCACAAGCGGUGGAGCAUGUGGUUUAAUUCGAAGCAACGCGAAGAACCUUACCAGGUCUUGACAUCCCGAUGCUAUUUCUAGAGAUAGAAAGUUACUUCGGUACAUCGGUGACAGGUGGUGCAUGGUUGUCGUCAGCUCGUGUCGUGAGAUGUUGGGUUAAGUCCCGCAACGAGCGCAACCCCUAUUGUUAGUUGCCAUCAUUCAGUUGGGCACUCUAGCGAGACUGCCGGUAAUAAACCGGAGGAAGGUGGGGAUGACGUCAAAUCAUCAUGCCCCUUAUGACCUGGGCUACACACGUGCUACAAUGGUUGGUACAACGAGUUGCGAGUCGGUGACGGCAAGCUAAUCUCUUAAAGCCAAUCUCAGUUCGGAUUGUAGGCUGCAACUCGCCUACAUGAAGUCGGAAUCGCUAGUAAUCGCGGAUCAGCACGCCGCGGUGAAUACGUUCCCGGGCCU
rnacentral:rRNA from 1 species